rnacentral:rRNA from 1 species
UCGAGAAUUUUUCUCAAUGGGCGAAAGCCUGAAGGAGCGACGCCGCGUGGGGGAUGAAGGGCUUCGGCUCGUAAACCCCUGUCAUUUGCGAACAAACCUUUUCACCUAACACGUGGAGAGCUGAUUGUAGCGAAAGAGGAAGGGACGGCUAACUCUGUGCCAGCAGCCGCGGUAAUACAGAGGUCCCAAGCGUUGUUCGGAUUCACUGGGCGUAAAGGGUGCGUAGGUGGCAGGGUAAGUUUGAUGUGAAAUCUCCGGGCUUAACCCGGAAACUGCAUUGAAUACUAUCCUGCUCGAGGUUUGGAGGGGGGACUGGAAUUCUCGGUGUAGCAGUGAAAUGCGUAGAUAUCGAGAGGAACACCAGUGGCGAAGGCGAGUCCCUGGACAACACCUGACACUGAGGCACGAAAGCUAGGGGAGCAAACAGGAUUAGAUACCCGUGUAGUCC